rnacentral:rRNA from 1 species
UACAGAGGUCUCAAGCGUUGUUCGGAUUCAUUGGGCGUAAAGGGUGCGUAGGCGGUGCGGUAAGUCGGGUGUGAAAUCUUGGAGCUUAACUCCGAAACUGCAUUCGAUACUGCCGUGCUUGAGGACUGGAGAGGAGACUGGAAUUUACGGUGUAGCGGUGAAAUGCGUAGAGAUCAUGAGGAAGACCAGUGGCGAAGGCGGGUCUCUGGACAGUUCCUGACACUGAGACACGAAGGCCAGGGGAGCAAACGGG